ACAAGCGGUGGAGCAUGUGGUUUAAUCGAAGCAACGCGAAGAACCUUACCAGGUCUUGACAUCCCGAUGCUAUUCUAGAGAUAGAAGUUACUUCGGUACAUCGGUGACAGGUGGUGCAUGGUUGUCGUCAGCUCGUGUCGUGAGAUGUUGGGUUAAGUCCCGCAACGAGCGCAACCCCUAUUGUUAGUUGCCAUCAUUCAGUUGGGCACUCUAGCGAGACUGCCGGUAAUAAACCGGAGGAAGGUGGGGAUGACGUCAAAUCAUCAUGCCCCUUAUGACCUGGGCUACACACGUGCUACAAUGGUUGGUACAACGAGUUGCGAGUCGGUGACGGCGAGCUAAUCUCUUAAAGCCAAUCUCAGUUCGGAUUGUAGGCUGCAACUCGCCUACAUGAAGUCGGAAUCGCUAGUAAUCGCGGAUCAGCACGCCGCGGUGAAUACGUUCCCGGGCCUU
rnacentral:rRNA from 1 species